rnacentral:rRNA from 1 species
GAUGAACGCUGGCGGCGUGCCUAAUACAUGCAAGUCGAACGCUGGAGAUCUAGCUUGCUAGCUCGAAGGAGUGGCGAACGGGUGAGUAAUACAUAAGCAACCUACCCACGAAGACUGGGAUAAUCUCUGGAAACGGGGACUAAUACCGGAUAGGUAAUCGGAAGGCAUCUUCUGGUUAUUAAAGGUUAAAAACACUGGUGGAUGGGCUUAUGGCGCAUUAGUUAGUUGGUGAGGUAACGGCCCACCAAGACGAUGAUGCGUAGCCGGCCUGAGAGGGUGAACGGCCACAUUGGGACUGAGACACGGCCCAGACGCCUACGGGAGGCAGCAGUAGGGAAUUGUCGGCAAUGGGGGCAACCCUGACCGAGCAACGCCGCGUGAGUGAAGACGGCCUUCGGGGUGUAAAGCUCUGUUGUAAGGGAAGAACGGUAGAUAGAGAAUAUCUAAGUGACGGUACCUGACCAGAAAGCCACGGCUAACUACGUG